CAGCAGCCGCGGUAAUACGUAGGGUGCAAGCGUUAAUCGGAAUUACUGGGCGUAAAGCGUGCGCAGGCGGUCCGCUAAGACAGAUGUGAAAUCCCCGGGCUUAACCUGGGAACUGCAUUUGUGACUGGCGGGCUAGAGUAUGGCAGAGGGGGGUAGAAUUCCACGUGUAGCAGUGAAAUGCGUAGAGAUGUGGAGGAAUACCGAUGGCGAAGGCAGCCCCCUGGGCCAAUACUGACGCUCAUGCACGAAAGCGUGGGGAGCAAACAGGAUUAGAUACCCGCGUAGUCCCUGUCUCUUACAC
rnacentral:rRNA from 1 species